GACAAACGCUGGCGGCGUGCUUAACACAUGCAAGUCGAACGGAAAGGCCCUGCUUUUGUGGGGUGCUCGAGUGGCGAACGGGUGAGUAACACGUGAGUAACCUGCCCUUGACUUUGGGAUAACUUCAGGAAACUGGGGCUAAUACCGGAUAGGAGCUCCUGCUGCAUGGUGGGGGUUGGAAAGUUUCGGCGGUUGGGGAUGGACUCGCGGCUUAUCAGCUUGUUGGUGGGGUAGUGGCUUACCAAGGCUUUGACGGGUAGCCGGCCUGAGAGGGUGACCGGCCACAUUGGGAUUGAGAUACGGCCCAGACUCCUACGGGAGGCAGCAGUGGGGAAUAUUGCACAAUGGGCGGAAGCCUGAUGCAGCAACGCCGCGUGCGGGAUGACGGCCUUCGGGUUGUAAACCGCUUUCGCCUGUGACGAAGCGUGAGUGACGGUAAUGGGUAAAGAAGCACCGGCUAACUACGUG
rnacentral:rRNA from 1 species